rnacentral:rRNA from 1 species
AGUAAUGCGUGACCAACCUGCCCCAUGCUCCAGAAUAGCUCUUGGAAACGGGUGGUAAUGCUGGAUGCUCCAACUUGACGCAUGUCUUGUUGGGAAAGUGUUUAGUGGCAUGGGAUGGGGUCGCGUCCUAUCAGCUUGUAGGCGGGGUAAUGGCCCACCUAGGCUUCGACGGGUAGCCGGCCUGAGAGGGCGGACGGCCACAUUGGGACUGAGAUACGGCCCAGACUCGUACGGGAGGCAGCAGCU